GAAUUCCUUUGUACCUUUGUAUAAAAGUGCGAGAAAAUUUCAACGCGAAGGCUGGUAUUUAGAGAAAUUUUGAACAAAUCCGGAGAUGAACGAACUAAGUGAAAAGAAUAGUUUAUUACAUGAAGUAACACUUUAUUGGUAGCUCAAUAAUGCAACUAAUAAUUCGCAAUAUCAGUCAUGGUUAGUGUUUGUGUUACCAAUACCACAGUUAACAGCAGGCUGGUUGACGUACAGGCUUAGAGUCUAAAAUAUCUUACGCAACAAAGUUUUCCAUUCGGACAAGUAAAACGUUUAGUUUACUUGCCCAAAGGGCAUGUGGGAUGAAAAGUUAAUGUAUAUUCCUGAUAUUAACACGACAAAACCACAAACAGCUUUUCGCGCACUUCUUUUCUAGUCCUCUGUGACUAUACAUCAAAUUACGUCAUUUAUAGUGAAUGCAGGAUCGCUAGGAUGAUCAUGAAAUGUAUCCUGUAAAAGGAGAUCUGAGCUAUCUGGCCCCGGGCGAUCGAAAUCGGCUGACCAGAUAGCUCAGUUGGUAGAGCACCCGACUAGAGAUCAGGGGCCUCGGGUUCGAAUCCCGGUCUGUUGAAAAUGCCUGCCAGGGGCAAAGGGAUCCUGGGUUGAUGUCUUCAGGUGUGAAAACAUUUAAGGAAGGAAGAGUCUAGAGGCCAGCCGAAUUCGAUCGCCGGUGGUCCGUUAACUGAGAUCGUAGAGCACUUGACAAGAAAUUCAGGGGGCCCGGGUUCGAAUCCCGGUCCGGUUAAUUGCAUUUUCUCCCUUCCUGUUACAUUUUUCUUUUUAAAAAGAGUUUUCGAUUAAUUAAUGAUUUAGAAUUGAUUUAUAUUGUAAAUGAUAGCAAAUAACAAAUUGAAUAAGAAAAUACCAAAGUGUGAAACAGUUGAAAUGAAUCAACAAAAAUGAAAUGUUUGUAAGAGGUAAGAAAAUGUGACGGAAUGAAAAUAUCCGAAUAUAUUAAAGUGUCCCCACUGGUUUCAAUAAUCUUAAAUAUUUCCAAGAAAUAGAAAGAGAACGAGCUACAUCGUAACCUAAAUAGCGAGUACUGUGUAGAAUAUGAAUUCCAGUACUAAAAUAUGACUGAUUCUAUGUAACUAUCAAAAUUCAGUGGCCACGGUAUGUCACAGAUUUUUAUGAAACUUUGUGUGUAACAAUAUUAUGAUAGAUAUAAAACAAAAAGACAUGCAAAGGUUUGACUUAGCAACGGUUGCCAUGGAAACCGAUCCUCUAACAACAACUGGACAAGAUAUGCACAUGUAUGUUAUAUUUUGAAUAAUCAAAAAUUAAACGCUAUUGUUUAUAAAAACAACAAUUGUAAAAAUUAUUUUGAGCUAUGUUCUAGCUUUUAGAAAUUUUUUUGUAUUUAUUUAAUCCUUGGAAACAAUAGAAAUAAUUAUUUUUAUGAUGUAUAAGGGUUUGAUAUAUGUAAUUUUUAGAGAGGGAUAAAAUAUAUUUGCCCAGUCAUUUGGUGUAAACUCACAUGCUAGUAAAAUGUAUUGAAUCUUACUUUAAAAAGUACAGAAACACAUUUGUGGAGAAACCAAAGGUAAACACAUAAACCAGUAGUUUCCUCUGGUGCACAAACCAAAAUACACCAGAAAGAGUUAUUGCCCUUUGUAACACUCUCUUGUAUUGGAGAUAUGAACAGCCUUCAUUUGUUUUCAGUAUGGCAGGAGGUGGAAAUUGAGUUUUUAUUCAAUUUGUUCUUCAGAAGUUUAUCAAUAUCAGAUGCUCUUUGUUCACUUAAUUCACUACCACGAUCUUUAUCUUCAAUUGUGCUAAAGGAUUCCGGUUUAUUUCAUGGAAUACAAAUCCGUUUGAUCUUUGCCAUAGUCACCGGACUCUAGCAUCCAAUCGUCUACGUAUUCGUAGAAAAAGUAAAUGUUGUGGAAUUUAACGCUUUAUUGCAUCACAUCCGACUAAAAAAAAUGACCAGGGAAACAGAAGGCUGACAGACAUAUUCAUAGAAAAUAUGAAAAAGCCCUGCCUGCUGCCGUGUUGGAACUUGUAUGGACGUAAGUAUUCUAUUUGAUUUAGAAUCCAAAUUCUAAAGUAAAGGCUGGAUAAAUUGUAUCAGAAAAUUUGGCUUUUAGUAAACAUAUGAGAACCCAAAUUUAUUUUAUACUGCCAACCAGGCUAGUCAGCUAUAGUGGUAUACAUGUAGACUGAACAUUGUAAGUAGUCCUGUCAUUUACUGCAUGGGUGUACAAUAUAGAAUACUAGUUAAGUAUGUCCCCAACCUAACAUUCACUCAGGGAGUUUCCUAUCACAUUUACACAGAGUUCAGGAUCUGUAAAAAUUGGGGAGUACUUAUAAAAUCAUGUUUCAUGUGGAAAUUUUCAAAAGGACUAGGCUUAAUUUAUGUAAUACUAAGUGAUGACCCCCCCUCUCUCUCUCUCUUUCUUUCUCUCUCUCUCUCUCUCUCUCUCUCUCUCUCUCUCUCUCUCUCUCUCUCUCUCUCUGACUGUCAAGUUUACAAUAAAAACAAACAUGUGAAUGCCUGUGUGCAUUCUAGAUAAAGAUUGUUAAAAUCAUAUAUAUUGGUGAGCCAGGCUACUUUCAAGUUUGUUUACCUGUGGUAACCCCCACUAAUAUGUGAUGGUUCUAAUCUACAGAAGAAAUCACACAAAUACUAUUAUGAUUUAAAGUUUUCUCAUAUCUGUAAUUAUGAACUUUAGGACACUUGAUUUGGAAAAAUUAAAUUAUGAAAAAUUGAUGAUUUUGAAUUGGGUCCUGUAACUGGGCCCUCAAAUUGGUAUCAAGUCAACUCGUACCCUGACCGACUCGUACCCAGGUCAACUCGUACCCAAUAGGUCAACUCGUACCCAAAAGGCAAAAGUCAACUCGUACCCAAAAAUCUGGUUACGAGUUGAUUCCUCUUCUUCAAUUGAUGACAACUCGUACCUAAGCGAUAUGUCACUUAUAUGCGCAUGGGUAUAUUGCAUUUUGGGCAGAUUCUUGGGUACAAGUUGACUUUUGCCUUUUGGGUACGAGUUGACCUAUUGGGUACGAGUUGACCUGGGUACGAGUCGGUCAGGGUACGAGUUGACUAGAAAUCCUCAAAUUUUAAUACAUGUAGGUCCUGUCAACUGAAGUAAAUCAAAAAAUAUUAAAUGUAAAUUGUAAAUAUUCAAAUACUUUUGAAUUCUUACUUUUUCAUCCAAUAAUCACAUAUUUUGGCCAAAGUACAUGACCACUAUUUUACGUAAUUAAUGUGUGCUUUUCUGUGUUUCAGCUGUAUGAGCAUCAUACUGUGCAAAUCACCUAAAGAUGGAGUUGACCAAGUUGCUGACUUUGAGGAGAACUUGAAGAGCAGAAUAUGCAUUCCAUGACUCUUAUGUGAUAUAGAAGACAAAGAAGAGCUCUUAAGAAUGGAAAAAAAGCUGCGAGUUUUACAGUCAAUGAACACACCUCACGACACAAGUCCAUCCUGAUUCAGUAAACUGUUCUUCUAAGGAAACACCAUGACUUAGUUAAGAUCAAGUUUUGGUGUCAGAAGACUAAUGUAACUAAAACAUUGCAAAAUUAACCUGCAAGUGUCUUAUGUGAGCCUACUGAAUAAGGAUUCAUUACUGAACAGUUGAAGGAAAAUCACUAUUAUAAUGAUUUUUAGAAAAAGAAGAUUGUGUUGUUUGGAUAACAUUGUGAUCCAUGUUUGUUGAAUAAACAACUUUGCAAAAAUGAGUUGUUCUGUGUUAAUAUUAUAAAUUUACUAAUUACUGGUAUAUAGAUUACAGUAACACUGAACAAACUUCAAUAAAUUUUAAAGUUUCAUGCAGUUUCUGCACCAGAAAAUGACACCUAUUGAUUUUCUGGUCCAAAGGUCACCAGGUGCAAUACAAUACUCUGUACAAUUGAUGUCUGACCAGUUUCUUCAGAACCCUUUGAUUGAUAGUGAUAUUUCAUACAGGGGUUGGUCACUGGUAGUAUAUGACCCCCAUUGAUUUUCAGGUCAAAAGAUUAAAAAUGGCAGGGGCCUCCGUGGCCGAGUGGUUGGAGCAUAGCGUUCAAAAUGACACGGCCUCAGUCGGCGCGGGUUCGAAUCCCGCUCGCGCUGGUAUUAAGUGAGAAAGUUUCCCAAUUUACUUUCGGAAGGUCGGUGGUCUCUUCCCAGGUACAUUGUAUCUGGGUUCUCACUUUCACCAAUAAACACUGGGCACCAUCAGAAAACUGAAAAAUUGUUGAGUGUGGCGGAAAAUAUCAAUAAAUCAAUCAAUUAAAAAUGACUAGGUGCAAUGUAGCUAGUACUCUAUGCAAUGGUGUCCCCCCAAUAUCUUGGGCCUGUUGUUCAAUUAUGAUAUUUCAUAUGUUGGUUGGUUAUGAAUAGUAGAUGACCCUAAUGAUUUCCAGGUCAAAGGUCAACAAAUACAAGGCAGUACAAUGAACAAUUUAUUGGUAUCUACCCAAUAUCUUGAGAAGACUUUUUAUAGUUAUUGAUAAUAGUUUACAUGACAAUACAGUACAUGUAAUAUAGCUCGUUUAUGGAAA